CCUACGGGUGGCAGCAGUGGGGAAUAUUGCACAAUGGGCGAAAGCCUGAUGCAGCAACGCCGCGUGAAGGAAGAAGGGUUUCGGCUCGUAAACUUCUAUCAACAGGGACGAAAGAAAUGAUGGUACCUGAAUAAGAAGCCUCGGCUAACUACGAGCCAGCAGCCGCGGUAAUACGUAGGGGGCAAGCGUUAGCAGGAAUUACUGGGUGUAAAGGGUUAGUAGGCGGCAAGGGAAGGCAGAUGUGAAAGCCUUGGGGUUAACCCGGUGAUUGCAUGUGGAACUAUCAUGCUAGAGUACAGUAGAGGAAAGCGGAAUUACUAGUGUAGCGGUGAAAUGCGUAGAUAUUAGGAAGAACACCAGUGGCGAAGGCGGCUUUCUGGACUGUAACUGACGCUGAGGCACGAAAGCGUGGGGAGCGAACAGGAUUAGAUACCCUAGUAGUC
rnacentral:rRNA from 1 species